rnacentral:rRNA from 1 species
UACGUAGGGUGCAAGCGUUGUCCGGAAUUACUGGGCGUAAAGCGUGCGCAGGCGGUUCUAUAAGACAGAUGUGAAAUCCCCGGGCUCAACCUGGGAACUGCAUUUGUGACUGUAGAGCUGGAGUGCGGCAGAGGGGGAUGGAAUUCCGCGUGUAGCAGUGAAAUGCGUAGAUAUGCGGAGGAACACCGAUGGCGAAGGCAAUCCCCUGGGCCUGCACUGACGCUCAUGCACGAAAGCGUGGGGAGCAAACAGG